GAUCAUAGAGUGGGUUUGGCAUAGCGGCUUCUGUUCUCCGGUUGUGCUGUGCAGAUAAAGGAAGGAACCGAGUGGAAGGAACCGAGGGAGGCUAGAAGGGGCUAAGUCCAAAUUGAUCCAGAUCAUUUUCCUGUACUCAUUCAAUUGAGAGAGAAGUAGUAGUAUCGGAAGCUCAGAGACCAAAGAAGAGAAGAGUUGAAAAUGCCUACUGCAUUCUUGAAGUGUCCCAUGCAUGAGACUGCAGUUCCAAUCUUUUCAUGCUUAUGAAUCAAGAAGGUCGCAAAAGGGGAUCAAUGACCACAGGACGUUGCAACCAUCAUAAAUCUGAACCAGUUGCCAAGCAGCUGAAUUUUGAUCACAUGACCAUUGGGAUGCUGCAAUGUUUGUAAGUGUGAAAAAUGGUCAUAAGUCAUUUUGUUCAGUGCCAUUG
rnacentral:lncRNA from 1 species